AGCUCUGCACAGUGGCAGUAUCGUAGCCAAUGAGGUUUAUCCAAGGCGUGGUUAUUGCUAAUUGAAAAAUGUCCCCAUCCCAGCCUUAGACAGUGUGGUCGUGCUGCCUGGUGCAUGCUACAUGUUACUGUUUCCAGACA